UGCCAUGUGUGUUCCUACGCAACUGUCUUGCAUGCUCUGCUCAUGUACCCCAAAACCUAAAAUCCAAUAAAAAAUUAAAAUAAAUAAAUAAAUAAAUAAAAAUAAAAAUAUUUUAAUAUUUUAAUAAUUCUAUCUUAUCUCCACUCUUUAAUUUUUCUAGUGAUUACUCCAGGGUUUACAAUAUGCACCUUUAAGUUACCAUAGUCUUCUUCCAGACAUUAUUAUAUAACUUCUCCUCUAGGGUAAGAACCUUGAAACACUGUAUAUGUUUUUCCAGCUCUCAUUUAUUUCCUACUCCCAUAUUAUUGUUGCUACACAUUUCACUUCUGCAUAUAACCCCAACAUACAUAGCUAGUAUUUUGCUUUAGAUCAGGGGGCAGAAAAGUAUGACUUGCAAGCCAAAUCUUGCCCAUGGCCUGUUUAUAUUAUACAGUCUGUGAGCUAAGGUGAUGGGGAGGAAGGCAGCAAACCACAUUGCCAUGUAUGUACCUAUGCAACAAUCUUGCUGGCUCUUCACAUGUACCCCAAAACCUAAAAUGCAAUAAAAUAUGUAUUUUAAAAAAGAAUGGCUUUUAUAUUUGUAAAUUGUUAUAUAAACAACAAGAACAAGGAAGAAUAUAUAAUAGAGACCUUAUAUGGCUCACAAAGCUCAAAUAUUAUCUGGCCAUUUACAGAAAACCUUUUUCAGUUUCUUUUACAGAUACUAAAAUUAACAAAAUUAUCUUUUAUAUAUACUCUUAUUUUUAUUAUUUUUAAUAGUCUUCAUUUCUUUAAUGUAGAUGCAACUAUAUAAGAGAAGCAUACUAUCUUUUCUGGUGAACUUGAACCCAAAGGAUGUGAGCCUGGAGUUGCAGAGGCCUUGAUAAAGGGCUUCAGGAUGAGGCUGACAGAGAGAAGGCAAGACCCACAGACUAGGAAGAACUGGUCACAUCCUUUUUUUCUGAAGCCAGUCAAACAGCCACCCAAAAUGUGAAGAAACAGGUGCAUCCAGAGAGAUAUAGCUGUGAUCUGUUUACUGGGAGCAGAUGCUGCUGCAGCCGUAAACUGGUAAGAACAUUUAAUGAGGACUUUGUUGGAUUUCUGGAGGCUUAGUAUGGACCAGCAAAGACUUAAAAACUCCUGGGGGCUCAGCCUUUCGGGGCCCUAUACAUUUGUGGGUUUUACCUCCAGAGACCCUACAGGGUUCUCACUGUGAAAAUUAGAGAUAAAUCCCCUUGUAAUUUGCCCAGGGGGGAGGUACAUAAAACCAUAUUGAAAUACACCUUGGAAAAACCAGAUAUGUCAAGCUGAUAGUAUAUAUCCUUCAUAUAACGUGAUGAGAAUGGCGUUAUUCUUCUGUGCCCUUGUUCCCCAAAACUCAUAACCAUGAGAAAAACAUUGGACAGGUCUCAUUUGAGAGAUAGCUACAAAAUACCCCUCAAAACUCUCAUUAAAUAAAAGGAAAGUUUGAGAAACUGUCAUAGCCAUAAGGACCCUAAAGAGGCAUGAUAACUAAAUGUAAUGUGGUAUCCUGGAAUAGAAGAAGUCUGAAUCAAGUAUGGACUUUAGUUAAUAAUACUUCAAUAUUGGUUCAUUUGUUGUACAUAAAUGUCCUAGACAAAUAUAAGGUGCUAAUAAUAGAAAUUAGGUAUGAGGUACAUUCAAACUCUCAGUUCCAUUUUUGUAACUUUUCUGUAAAUCUAAAACUAUUAAAAAAGCAAUGGAUGAAAAUGUAAAUAAGAUUGAACCGGGUUCUGAAACAACUUCUUAAGCUCACAGUUUCUUGUGAAAUAUCUAUGUCAGUAAGUGAAAUUGAUUAUGCCCUAAGAAUAGUUAUUUGUCUCUGAAGGCCUUCUCUUUGACUUCUCAACUUGGGUGAGAAACCAGGAAGUUUUGAGGGAGAAAGUGGCCCCCGAUAUGGUCACUCAGACUGAUGAAUCAGCCCUUAAUAUUCUGCAGUGAUGGAUUUUUUAGAAAACAGUAUCAGGAAAUAAAUUCAGUCAUGAAGGAAAUGGACUUCUCUUGACUUACCAAUGUGACCAGAAGCACCACAGAUGUAGUUGAGUCUAAUUCUCUUACUUCCCACUUGAGGAUAUUGAGACCUGGGGGGAAUGCAUCCAUGUUAGAUUCAGGAUUAGAACUCAGUUUCCUUUGUCACCAAUUUCAAACAUUCAGUGAAAAUGAUGAUAGAGUGAACACCCUAUGCCCACCACUACCUACAUUGAUUCAAUGAUUAAUAUUUUGUCAUAUUUGCCACAUGUAUUUGCAAAACCAUUUAAACAUUUUGUGACACUUCAUCUCUAAAGAUUUCAGCAUAUAUUUCCUAGGAUCAGGAUAUUCUUUUAUAUACCCAUAACACCAUUAUAAAAAUAACUAAAAAUAAUUCCUUAAUGUAUCUAAUACCUAGUCCAUUUUCUAAAUUUUGAAAUGUGUGUCUCAAAAUGUCUUUUAUAUUUUUUUCCUCAAAUUAUGAUCUAGUCAAGAUAUCUCAGUGCAUUCAUUUUGUCUUUAUAAUCUCUGUUUGUCUGGAACAUUCCCCAAACAUUUCUUUUUGGAUGUUAAUGUUUUGUAAAAUGCCCCAUGGCAUACUAGGCAUACGAAUACAUGGCAUACGAAUCUGAGGCCUGAAGGUGAAUAAUUAUGUAUCAUCAGAUGAAGAAGUAUAGAAAAAGGAAAAAUGUUUUCUGAGCUUCUGUUUCUCUGUUCUGGCUACAAUCCCAGAAGUCAGAGGACCAACCUGUGUUACUGUGGAAGAGGACAGAAUAUUUGGUGCCCUUUCCCUGGCAAACAAAAAAGAUACCACCCUACAAUUGAAAGGGACAGUAUUUCUCUUAUUCCAAGUACAUUUGAGACAGAAAAUAAUGCAUUUCUUUUAAACGACAAGUAGUUGCAAAUGCAAAUUGAUAAAGAUCCACAUCUUUUUGGGAAGGAGUUAACAUAUCUCUUCACAGUCAUUCUGGGAUUAAAAGAAGAGGCCCUGUUUUUGCAUGGAGACAUAGAUACCUCCCAAAAGAUACUCACCCCUCCUGGUCUGUGGACUUUUGAAAAUUAGGACUGUAUUAUGUUCAAUUUUAUUUUCAGUGUCUAGCAGCUCAGUAAAUAUUAUUUGAAUGUAUCAGUCAGUUAUAAAGCCAAUUGAAUAAUAUUUGCAUUUCCAUAUUAAAUACUUUGUUGUGCAUAGCAACAACUUCUUUUCCUGAACUCCUCACCAUGCGUGUUCACUAUAUGCCCUGACACUAAGCCUUCUUUCUCAUGGUAUCUCUGCUGGAAAAAUAAUACAGAAAGUGUCCUGACACAGUGUUCCACUGUUCCCAAA